UGGUGAACAAUGAGAGAUUCCUACUA
rnacentral:piRNA from 1 species